rnacentral:rRNA from 2 species
UGGGGAAUAUUAGGCAAUGGGGGAAACCCUGACCUAGCAACGCCGCGUGAAGGACGAAGGUCUUCGGAUUGUAAACUUCUUUGGCAGGGGACGAUAAUGACGGUACCCUGAGAACAAGCCACGGCUAACUACGUGCCAGCAGCCGCGGUAAUACGUAGGUGGCAAGCGUUAUCCGGAAUUACUGGGUGUAAAGGGCGAGUAGGCGGGUGCACAAGUCAGAUGUGAAAUACCAGGGCUCAACUCUGGGGCUGCAUUUGAAACUGUGCGUCUUGAGUGAUGGAGAGGCAGGCGGAAUUCCCGGUGUAGCGGUAAAAUGCAUAGAGAUCGGGAGGAACACCAGUGGCGAAGGCGGCCUGCUGGACAUUAACUGACGCUGAGGCGCGAAAGUGUGGGGAGCAAACAGG